GACGAACGCUGGCGGCGUGCUUAACACAUGCAAGUCGAACGGAAAGGCCCUGCUUUUGUGGGGUGCUCGAGUGGCGAACGGGUGAGUAACACGUGAGUAACCUGCCCUUGACUUUGGGAUAACUUCAGGAAACUGGGGCUAAUACCGGAGAGGAGCUCCUGCUGCAUGGGGGGGGUUGGAAAGUUUCGGCGGUUGGGGGUGGACGCGCGGCUUAUCAGCUUGUGGGGGGGGUAGUGGCUUACCAAGGCUUUGACGGGUAGCCGGCCUGCGAGGGUGACCGGCCUCAUUGGGCCUGAGGUACGGACCAGACUCCUACGGGAGGCAGCAGUGGGGAAUAUUGCACAAUGGGCGGAAGCCUGAUGCAGCAACGCCGCGUGCGGGAUGACGGCCUUCGGGUUGUAAACCGCUUUCGCCUGUGACGAAGCGUGAGUGACGGUAAUGGGUAAAGAAGCACCGGCUAACUACGUG
rnacentral:rRNA from 1 species